GCAAGUCGAGCGCAGUCCUUCGGGACCGAGCGGCGGACGGGUUAGUAACGCGUGGGAACAUACCCAACUCUAAGGAAUAGCCUCUGGAAACGGAGAGUAAUACCUUAUACGCCCUUCGGGGGAAAGAUUUAUCGGAAUUGGAUUAGCCCGCGUUAGAUUAGAUAGUUGGUGGGGUAACGGCCUACCAAGUCGACGAUCUAUAGCUGGUUUGAGAGGAUGAUC
rnacentral:rRNA from 1 species